CCGCACUAGUCGGGGAGUCAGCGGUGCCCUGUUACCUGCAACCCGCUACAGCAGGGAUGAAUUCCGACCCUCGGGUGUGUGAUGUGUUAUCAGAUUCCGGUAAGUGGCGCUGAUAAGCCGGUCUCGCGCAACGUCAAUUCGUGAACCAUGUCAGGCGGGGAACCGAGCAGCAUUAAGCGAAAACUGGCGUGUGCCGCGAGGUGACCGGCUUUGAGUCGGCUGCCGGCGUUUCGGACAUAUCAUACUUUCAAAGGCCGGUGUGCGG
rnacentral:SRP_RNA from 1 species